GAUGAGAUUCUCAUUGCCGGCAUUCUUCAUGAACCUAUCAAGGAGAACAUUUCAAUACUAAUUGCAGCACAUGUUUUCUCACCACCGGCUAGCAAGAAGAGAGUAUGAUUUUCUAAUGCUCAGUGUUGUAAGCUUGAUUCACGAGGAGCUUCUCAAUGUUGUACAUGUUGUUUGCUAUCUGGAAUGAUUGCAUGUAUUAAUGAAGUAGUCCACGUUAGGUGGAUUGGCUCAAAAUGGAGAAGCAUGAUUGUAUUAAGCAUUUAAGCUCUAAGCAAUUUAGAAUGUCAAUGUCUUGGGGCUCCCUUGCAAUAUUUCAGAGAACUAUAUUUUUUCAGACAUUUUAUAUUGCCUCACGAUGUUUGGGGGAUCUGAUUAGGUAUUGUUUCUCUAUA